GGGCCGUUAGCUCAGUCGGUAGAGCAGUUGGCUUUUAACCAAUUGGUCGCUGGUUCGAAUCCAGCACGACCCACCA
rnacentral:tRNA from 1 species